GAAGAACCCAGGCAAGGUUCCGCCCGACACCCUCCCCUCUGCAUUCGCACACUGCCAGCCAGAGGGGAGAGCCGUGCUGUCUUUCCACAGACACACUCAGCAGAGGGGCUUCUGAAAAAGAAAACAAGGGGAUGAGCAGCUGUGCUCGGAUGCUCCACCAUGCAGGUCAAAUUCUGACCAGAAUACAAAGAAGACAAGAGGUGCACAGAACUACGGGCCGAUACCAGACCAUCAGCCCGGACUUCUGGAGUCUCUGACACAUAACUGAUGCUGUUGUCGUUGCUUUCAACGUGCCAGGUUAUGGUUGCUGCGGGGGCAACACUUUCCACAGAGCAGUCCACUUUUGUGUACUUGUGACCGUCUUUCCACUCAUUGCUGGAGUCGAUGGUAAUAUGUGGGGGAGCUGCGUGAGAAAGAGAAGUUAAACCACAGGAAGUGAGAAAUUUCUUUAGAGAAAAAUAUUAAAUCUAUAGUGAGCUUACACGGCCAAAUAUGUCCGCUACUCAGACAAAAUUAUCCAUCGCCUGAUUUGUUGAACAUACCGCAACGAGGGAGUGUUACGCUUCUGUUCUCUGGCUCUUCAAAUGCAGGGUGAUUUAUCACACACUCUGCAGUGAGCUCCCAAGGCAAGCAGGCAGGGAGGAGUAAAACUCCCUUGACAGAGUGGCUUCCAUUAUGAGAAGUGAAAUUGAACCAAUGGACUCCAGACACACCCUCUGGUAGAAGCCAGGAUAUGUUGGCUACAGGAUCAGCAUCAGCUGCUGAGCACUCAAUCACCCUGCGUCCAUCUUCGGUCUGCAAAUCAACUCGUAUUGUGGGAGGAACUGAGUGGAAGGCUCUUCAUCGGUGUUCAAAGCCAAGGACAUGUCAGUGGCAGGUCUCCCUCCAGACGAAAUGCAAGAGACCACCCAGAACUCACUUCCUCCUUGUUGUAUCAUCUCUGCUUUAAUGGUCACAUUUGGCCUCGCUGCAGAGCAGGAAGAAAGGCGAGAAGAGUUAUUCUUUCUCAAGGUCUGAUGUUUUUUCCAGCAAAUUAAAAAGUCAGAUAGCAAGUUGAA